rnacentral:rRNA from 1 species
GACGUAGGGCGCGAGCGUUGUCCGGAUUUAUUGGGCGUAAAGAGCUCGUAGGCGGCUUGUCGCGUCGACUGUGAAAACCCGCGGCUCAACCGCGGGCUUGCAGUCGAUACGGGCAGGCUAGAGUUUGGUAGGGGAGACUGGAAUUCCUGGUGUAGCGGUGAAAUGCGCAGAUAUCAGGAGGAACACCGGUGGCGAAGGCGGGUCUCUGGGCCAUUACUGACGCUGAGGAGCGAAAGUGUGGGGAGCGAACAGG